GUCUUUUUGAUUAUAAUUUAAAGUCUGACCUGCCCAAUGAAUAUUUAAAUGGCCGCGGUAUUUUGACCGUGCAAAGGUAGCAUAAUCAUUAGUUUUUUAAUUGAAAGCUGGAAUGAAUGGUUGGACGAGAAAAUUACUGUCUCAAUUUAAUUUAAUUAGAAUUUUAUUUUUAAGUUAAAAAGCUUAAAUUUUUUUAAAAGACGAGAAGACCCUAUAGAGUUUAAUAUAAAUUUAUUUAUUUGUUUUUAUAAUUUUUAUUAUUUAAUUUUAUAUUUUAUUGGGGUGAUAAAUAAAUUUAAUUAACUUUAUUUAAUUUAUUACAUAUAUUUAUGAAUAAUUGAUCCAUUUUUUAUGAUUAUAAGAUAAAAUUACCUUAGGGAUAACAGCGUAAUUUUUUUUGAGAGUUCUAAUCGAAAAAAAAGAUUGCGACCUCGAUGUUGGAUUAAAAUUUAUUUUUGGUGUAGAAGCUAAAAUAUUAAGUCUGUUCGACUUUUAAAAUUUUACAUGAUCUGAGUUUAAACCGGUGUGAGCCAGGUUGGUUUCUAUCUUUAAAUAAAAUGAAAUAUUUUAGUACGAAAGGACCAAAUAUUUAUAAUAUUUAUUAAUUUAAGAAUAA
rnacentral:rRNA from 1 species